GCAAGUCGAGCGGAAACGAUGGAAGCUUGCUUCCAGGCGUCGAGCGGCGGACGGGUGAGUAACGCGUAGGAAUCUGCCCAGUAGAGGGGGAUAGCCCGAGGAAACUCGGAUUAAUACCGCAUACGCCCUACGGGGGAAAGCAGGGGAUCUUCGGACCUUGCGCUAUUGGAUGAGCCUGCGUUGGAUUAGCUAGUUGGUGGGGUAAAGGCCCACCAAGGCGACGAUCCAUAGCUGGUCUGAGAGGAUGAUC
rnacentral:rRNA from 1 species